rnacentral:rRNA from 1 species
CAGCCGCCACGGUAAUACGGAGGGGGCUAGCGUUGUUCGGAAUUACUGGGCGUAAAGCGCACGUAGGCGGCUUGGUAAGUUAGAGGUGAAAGCCCGGAGCUCUACUCCGGAAUUGCCUUUAAGACUGCCGAGCUAGUAGGUGAGAGAGGUAAGUGGAAUUCCGAGUGUAGAGGUGAAAUCCGUAGAUAUUCGGAAGAACACCAGUGGCGAAGGCGGCUUACUGGCUCAUUCUAGACGCUGAGGUGCGAAAGCGUGGGGAGCAAACGGGAUUAGAUACCCCUGUAGUCCCUGUCUCUUAUAC